CAUAUACUCCCUCAAUCCUAUAAUAAGUGACUUUCUAUUACAUGUAUCUAAACGUUUUUUUGGCAUAGAUACAUCCAUAUUUAGACAAAUUUGAGUCACUUAAUAUGGGACGGAGGGAGUACCAU
rfam:Brachypodium distachyon strain Bd21 chromosome 3, whole genome shotgun sequence.